rfam:Pseudomonas sp. M30-35, complete genome.
CCAUCCGAGGGGCGCUGCAGCAGACCCUGUACACCAGUGGUUUGUCAGGCUCGGAUGGGGCGUUAACCAUACGCAUCAACGGCGCCCAUUCGCA